UGUGAACUCGAAGAGUAGGGCGGGACACGUGGUAUCCUGUCUGAAUAUGGGGGGACCAUCCUCCAAGGCUAAAUACUCCUGACUGACCGAUAGUGAACCAGUACCGUGAGGGAAAGGCGAAAAGAACCCCGGCGAGGGGAGUGAAAAAGAACCUGAAACCGUGUACGUACAAGCAGUAGGAGCCCACUUGUUGGGUGACUGCGUACCUUUUGUAUAAUGGGUCAGCGACUUAUAUUCUGUAGCAAGGUUAACCGUAUAGGGGAGCCGCAGGGAAACCGAGUCUUAACUGGGCGUUAAGUUGCAGGGUAUAGACCCGAAACCCGGUGAUCUAGCCAUGGGCAGGUUGAAGGUUGGGUAACACUAACUGGAGGACCGAACCGACUAAUGUUGAAAAAUUAGCGGAUGACUUGUGGCUGGGGGUGAAAGGCCAAUCAAACCGGGAGAUAGCUGGUUCUCCCCGAAAGCUAUUUAGGUAGCGCCUCGUGAACUCAUCUUCGGGGGUAGAGCACUGUUUCGGCUAGGGGGUCAUCCCGACUUACCAACCCGAUGCAAACUACGAAUACCGAAGAAUGUUAUCACGGGAGACACACGGCGGGUGCUAACGUCCGUCGUGAAGAGGGAAACAACCCAGACCGCCAGCUAAGGUCCCAAAGUCAUGGUUAAGUGGGAAACGAUGUGGGAAGGCCCAGACAGCCAGGAUGUUGGCUUAGAAGCAGCCAUCAUUUAAAGAAAGCGUAAUAGCUCACUGGUCGAGUCGGCCUGCGCGGAAGAUGUAACGGGGCUAAACCAUGCACCGAAGCUGCGGCAGCGACACUAUGUGUUGUUGGGUAGGGGAGCGUUCUGUAAGCCGUUGAAGGUGGCCUGUGAGGGUUGCUGGAGGUAUCAGAAGUGCGAAUGCUGACAUAAGUAACGAUAAUG
rnacentral:rRNA from 1 species